UUCAGUGAGGCGGUCAUGCAUCUGUUGAUGUGUAGACUGCUGGAGGCCAAAAAGACACACCAGUGAACCCCCAAGUAUGAGCAAGACCUGUCAGCUCUCAGAGUGCAGCUGUGAGAUGACCCCGGGGGGGGUGUCAUCCUGACGUCUGUGUCGGUAUUCUACAGCAGCUCUUGGGGUAAUUACACGGGGGACGGACCUUCACAGCCCGGUGGUGGGGACCUCCCGUGUUGAAGUGGGCAAAGCCGGCUUCCGCUGCAGUCCCUCCUGUUCUCUCCCUCGGGUUUAAAGAGAAGCUAACCCACAACCCAGCAUCAGCACCUGCAGAUGGAUGGUACCUUUUCUAUCUAAGAAUCCCUAUUUGCUUCCUUUUCAUCAUUACCUAACCACCAAGUCCUGCUCUGCUCCCC